rfam:Felis catus isolate Cinnamon breed Abyssinian chromosome F2, whole genome shotgun sequence.
AGAGGUGAUGGUAAUCUGGCUGUGACAUCCGUCAGCCCAUUGAUCUCCAGGGUUGAUUCAACUGACCUUGAUGGCAGUGCGGGUGUCCCCUUCGACACGGCUCCAGGUGCGUCCCUCCCGAAGCUGCACGUGCUCGGCUGACAAGGGUGACCUUUCCCCAUAGGGAAGGGUUGUCUUCAGUCAAAGGUAUACGAGUAGCUGUGCUCCCCUGCUAAAACCUCCAAACAAGCGCUCAAGGUCCCUUAUAUGCUAGCGUAUGACCUGGGAGAGUUAUUCUAAGCAUUCACUUCAUCUGGAAACGGGGAUAAUGUUUCAUUCA